rnacentral:rRNA from 2 species
UACAGAGGGUGCAAGCGUUAAUCGGAUUUACUGGGCGUAAAGGGUACGUAGGUGGUCUAUUAAGUCGGAUGUGAAAUCCCUGAGCUUAACUUAGGAAUUGCAUUCGAUACUGAGAGACUAGAGUAUGGGAGAGGAUGGUAGAAUUCCAGGUGUAGCGGUGAAAUGCGUAGAGAUCUGGAGGAAUACCGAUGGCGAAGGCAGCCAUCUGGCCUAAUACUGACACUGAGGUACGAAAGCAUGGGGAGCAAACAGG